GAUGAAUGCUGGCGGCGUGCCUAAUACAUGCAAGUCGAGCGGUAAGGCCCUUCGGGGUACACGAGCGGCGAACGGCUGAGUAACGCGUGGGAACAUGCCCCAAAGUGAGGGAUAACGCACCGAAAGGUGUGCUAAUACCGCAUAUGGUCUUCGGAUUAAAGGAUUUAUCCGCUUUGGGAGUGGCCUGCGUACGAUUAGAUUGUUGGUGAGGUAACGGCUCACCAAGUCGACGAUCGUUAACUGGUCUGAGAGGAUGAUCAGUCAGACUGGAACUGAGACACGGUCCAGACUCCUACGGGAGGCAGCAGUAAGGAAUCUUCCACAAUGGGCGAAAGCCUGAUGGAGCAACGCCGCGUGCAGGAUGAAGGCCCUCGGGUCGUAAACUGCUUUUA
rnacentral:rRNA from 1 species